CUAUAAAUUUGCCAUCGUACUUCUCAUCGUUGGGAAAUGUAUAACACUUGCCAUAAAAAAAAUCAAACUAGAUAGAUUAAUUUUCACAGGUACAGAAUCAAAAUCAGUUUGUGCCUGCAAUAUUUCGUCUUCCUCAUCAUCCAACGAUAAAUCUGCCAACUCUCUCUUGACAAUUCAAAAGAAAAAAAAAACAAAGCGAAUAGAAUGUAAAAAUGAAAAAAAUGAAUUCAAACUAAACUCAACUCAACGUGUUCAACAAAACCACCAAUAAUGAAUCACUAAAAAUAAAACAAAAACCUACUAGAAACAGCAGACAGAGGCGUGCUAAAAUAGCAAGAUCGAC
rnacentral:lncRNA from 1 species